AAAGUAGGCUGCAAUCACAGUGCUUCCUUUUGUGGAAGUACUUCCAUUAUCCUGCUGUAAGAAAAACCAUGUUGAUUGUUUGUUUUUGCCAUAUUCCCAGGCCAUGGCCUUUU